rnacentral:rRNA from 1 species
UACGUAGGGACCAAGCGUUGUUCGGAUUUACUGGGCGUAAAGGGCGCGUAGGCGGCGUGUUAAGUCACUUGUGAAAUCUCUAAGCUUAACUUAGAACGGUCAAGUGAUACUGAUGUGCUAGAGUGCAGAAGGGGCAACCGGAAUUCUUGGUGUAGUGGUGAAAUGCGUAGAUAUCGGGAGGAACACCAGUGGCGAAGGCGACUACCUGGCCUGUUCUUGACGCUGAGGCGCGAAAGCUAGGGGAGCAAACGGG